rnacentral:rRNA from 1 species
GACGAACGCUGGCGGCGUGCUUAACACAUGCAAGUCGAACGGAAAGGCCCUGCUUUUGUGGGGUGCUCGAGUGGCGAACGGGUGAGUAACACGUGAGUAACCUGCCCUUGACUUUGGGAUAACUUCAGGAAACUGGGGCUAAUACCGGAUAGGAGCUCCUGCUGCAUGGUGGGGGUUGGAAAGUUUCGGCGGUUGGGGAUGGACUCGCGGCUUAUCAGCUUGUUGGUGGGGUAGUGGCUUACCAAGGCUUUGACGGGUAGCCGGCCUGAGAGGGUGACCGGCCACAUUGGGACUGAGAUACGGCCCAGACUCCUACGGGAGGCGGCAGUGGGGAAUAUUGCACAAUGGGCGGAAGCCUGAUGCAGCAACGCCGCGUGCGGGAUGACGGCCUUCGGGUUGUAAACCGCUUUCGCCUGUGACGAAGCGUGAGUGACGGUAAUGGGGAAAGAAGCACCGGCUAACUACGU